CCUGCAGGGGAUCACACUUGGGGAGAACCUAAGAUGGGCUAAGAGCUCCUGUCAGGGUAGGCCCUUUCUCCUGGCAGAUUCCAGACUGGGGAAGGUGAAGGCUGCUGAGAGCCAGGCAGAAGUUGCUGGGAUUUAUUGGUGACACCGAUACCCCGGAAGAGGAGGAGCAACAGAGCAGCCUGGCCGGAGGGCCACGUCCCCACUGAAGUCCUGAUGAGGAGAGAGAGGCGGAGUCACCAAAACACUACGCCAGGCCACAAGGGGCACUCCAGGAGGGGUGAAGCUAGGAAAUGGUAGGUUCCACCGCUGAAUUCAACAAGUUGUCAUGGCAUGGAGACAGUCUACCAGCAAGCUAGCUUAACGCCUGCCUUUGACUCCUAAAAGGGCUUGGGUCUCAAGUGGACAAUCAGUAGAAGCCUGUGACUGCACUGCUGCUGCAAGUUCUCUGUGCCAGGACCCACACGUGCUAAGGAAUGUACGACAUGCACGCUUGCCACCACAGCCCUGCACAGACCAAGGCCUGGUUCAUCUCACUCAUUCCCUCCGGCAGAGGGCAGGUUCUGUACCUGUUCU